rnacentral:lncRNA from 1 species
UACGACCGUCCCAAUCUCCAAAUUGACUUGUCAAAACUACAAAGAAUGAAAAGGAGGGAGUAAGCAUAUAUGCUUAGUAAGUCCACAUGCAAAUAACAAAUAACUUAACAAAGUAAUUAUACCAACAAACAUUAGCAUAAUAUCACCAAAACAUAUAUCACAUUCAUAUUCAUCAUUCAUCAUCUUACCAUAUUAUUGUAGUCGUAUCAAGUCUCAACCGGAGGGUUAAGUACAUACCUGUC